UACCUGAUAGUAUGGUGAGAUUGCAUGAUAGCACCAUUAAAGAUUUAUUGGUAAACGAUGGGGAUGCGUUCCAUUAGGUAGUAGGCGGGGUAACGGCCCACCUAGCCGACGAUUGAUAGGGGUUCUGAGAGGAAGGUCCCCCACAUUGGAACUGAGACACGGUCCAAACUCCUACGGGAGGCAGCAGUGAGGAAUAUUGGUCAAUGGGCGAGAGCCUGAACCAGCCAAGUAGCGUGAAGGAUGAAGGUCCUACGGAUUGUAAACUUCUUUUAUACGGGAAUAAAGUAUCCUACGUGUAGGAUUUUGUAUGUACCGUAUGAAUAAGCAUCGGCUAACUCCGUGCCAGCAGCCGCGGUAAUACGGAGGAUGCGAGCGUUAUCCGGAUUUAUUGGGUUUAAAGGGAGCGCAGACGGGAGAUUAAGUCAGUUGUGAAAGUUUGCGGCUCAACCGUAAAAUUGCAGUUGAUACUGGUUUCCUUGAGUGCAGUUGAGGCAGGCGGAAUUCGUGGUGUAGCGGUGAAAUGCUUAGAUAUCACGAAGAACCCCGAUUG
rnacentral:rRNA from 1 species